UUCGAGAUUUGAUUUAGAUGGCUCGUCGAUCAACAAUGCAAUAGAGUGGGCACUUACUGAGUUUGGGUUUUCAAUGAAUGGCUUUGAGUGUUUUAUGGCAAUGUGGGAUUUAUAGGAAGACAAAGAUGUAGAUUGCUGUUAUUACCCUUCUACCCAAAAAAAAAAAAAGAUGUAGAUUGCUGUGUUUGGAUCAAAUUGCGAUCGUUGUGCGAUUGUUGUGGCCUCACUCUGUUUGUUAGCAUUCCGAAUUAGCUUC
rnacentral:lncRNA from 1 species